UCUUGCCCUGCCUCGCCUCCCUUUCCUGAGCAGACCUUCUGGGUUCCGUAAAAGUCGUGAGAGCAGACAGCCAUGGUCAUUAACCCCUCGCUGAAGGGGGGGCGGUGAUGAAGGUUGGAGACACCUGCAAGGGGUGCACCUCGCGCCCCUGCAUCCUCGCGGCUCCGUGAAGACAGUGCUCCCGGGGGCGGCGUCUCACCUGGAAGGUUCUCUGCAGACCAAGGGUUUGGGCAGUUACCCGCCUGGCGAGCCUGGCCUUGCUCGGGGAGAGGUGGCGGGCGCCCUGACCUCUCCCAGGUACUCGGCUCUGAAGAAAAACGGGACAGGAGGUGAGCGGAUGUUGGAUGGACCACCGUCUCGUGGCGUGUUUUGGUUUUACGUUCUUAAACCCAAACCUCCCACCCCGAGCAGCACCCUGUGGUCAAUACCUGUCUCGGGUUGUGGGUCCUUAGAAAGUGAUCCUUAAGAAAAUGUGGCUUAAACAUGAAUAGAUACUUCUCCAAAGAAGACAUCCAGAUGGCCAACCGACACAUGAAAAAGUGCUCAAUGUCACUCAUCAUCAGGGAAACACAAAUCAAAACCACUGUGAGAUAGCACCUCACACUUGUCAGAAGGGCCAACGUGAGCAAUUCAGGCAACAACAGAUGUUGACGAGGAUGCAGAGAAAGAGGAUCUCUUUUGCGUUGUUGGUGGGAAUGCAAGCUGGUGCAGCCACUCUGGAAAACAGUAUGGAGGUUCCUCAAAAAAACUAAAAAUAGAACUACCCUACAACCCAGCAAUUGCACUACUAGGCAUUUAUCCACGGAUACGGGGGUGCUGUUUCGAAGGGACCCAUGCACCCCCAUGUUUAUAGCAGCACCAUCCAGAAUAGCCCAAGUAUGGCCAGAGCCCAAAUGUCCAUCGAUGGAUGAAUGGAUAAAGAAGAUGUGGUAUAUUUAUACAAUGGAGUAUUACUCGGCGAUCAAAAAGAAGAAAUCUUGUCAUUUGCAACUACGUGGAUGGAACUGGAGGCUAUGAUGCUAAAUGAAAUUAGUCAGUAAGAGAAAGACAAAAAUCAUAUGACUUCACUCAUACGAAGACUUUAAGAUACAAAACACAUGAACAUAAGGGAAGGGAAGCAACAAUAAUAAAGAAACAAGGAGGGGGACA
rnacentral:lncRNA from 1 species